GAAUUUUGGGCAAUGGGCGAAAGCCUGACCCAGCAACGCCGCGUGAAGGAUGAAAUCCCUCGGGAUGUAAACUUCAUAAGAACGGGAAGAAUAAGCCGGAGUUAACACCUCCGGCGAUGACGGUACCGUUAGGAAGCUCCGGCUCACUCCGUUCGAGCAGCCGCGGUAAGACGGGGGGAGCAAGCGUUGUUCGGAUUUACUGGGCGUCAAGGGCGCGUAGGCGGCCACCGCAAGUCGACUGUGAAAUCUCCGGGCUUAACCCGGAAAGGUCAGCCGAUACUGCGGGGCUAGAGUGCAGAAGGGGCAACUGGAAUUCUCGGUGUAGCGGUGAAAUGCGUAGAUAUCGAGAGGAACACCUGCGGCGAAGGCGGGUUGCUGGGCUGACACUGACGCUGAGGCGCGAAAGCUAGGGGAGCGAACGGG
rnacentral:rRNA from 1 species